rnacentral:lncRNA from 1 species
CAGUAAUUAACUGUAUCGAGUCAUGAUCGAUAUUCCAUAAUCGUAACAUUCAAUCCCAUAUAACUCAUCCAAGGUACAUUUAUGUAACAUUGAAUGCAAAGCUUCCAUUAUAACCGACCUUGAUGAAAUAUCACAAUAGAUACCAUGUCACAAGAUGUACGUGGCUAAAAUCGUGGGAAGAUAGAGGCAGAUGCAGAGGAUCAGGGCUUGAGUAUUUUGAGUAUGUAUUGCAACAAUCCAAAAAAAAUCUUACCUCAUUAAGUCAAUUUUUGUUUAUUUAUCUUGAAAAUAUAUUGAAGAGACCAAAAUGAAAAAAAAAAAUGUAUAUUUUACCAUGACUAAAAAAUUGCAUUAUAACAUGGUUUCCAUCCUUGGCUUUUUGUCUGGUUGUAACUGAC